AUUGAACGCUGGCGGCAUGCUUUACACAUGCAAGUCGAACGGCAGCACGGACUUCGGUCUGGUGGCGAGUGGCGAACGGGUGAGUAAUACAUCGGAACGUGCCCAGUUGUGGGGGAUAACUACUCGAAAGAGUAGCUAAUACCGCAUGAGAACUGAGGUUGAAAGCAGGGGAUCGUGUGACCUUGCGCAACUGGAGCGGCCGAUGGCAGAUUAGGUAGUUGGUGGGAUAAAAGCUUACCAAGCCGGCGAUCUGUAGCUGGUCUGAGAGGACGACCAGCCACACUGGGACUGAGACACGGCCCAGACUCCUACGGGAGGCAGCAGUGGGGAAUUCUGGACAAUGGGCGAAAGCCUGAUCCAGCAAUGCCGCGUGCAGGAUGAAGGCCUUCGGGUUGUAAACUGCUUUUGUACGGAACGAAAAGCUUCGGGUUAAUACCCUGGAGUCAUGACGGUACCGUAAGAAUAAGCACCGGCUAACUACGUGCCAGCCGCCGCGGUAA
rnacentral:rRNA from 1 species